rnacentral:rRNA from 2 species
UUAAGUUAUUAAGGGCGCACGGUGGAUGCCUUGGCACUAGAAGCCGAUGAAGGACGUUACUAACGACGAUAUGCUUUGGGGAGCUGUAAGUAAGCUUUGAUCCAGAGAUUUCCGAAUGGGGAAACCCAGCAUGAGUUAUGUCAUGUUAUCGAUAUGUGAAUACAUAGCAUAUCAGAAGGCACACCCGGAGAACUGAAACAUCUUAGUACCCGGAGGAAGAGAAAGAAAAUUCGAUUCCCUUAGUAGCGGCGAGCGAAACAGGAAGAGCCCAAACCAACAAGCUUGCUUGUUGGGGUUGUAGGACACUCUAUACGGAGUUACAAAGGACGACAUUAGACGAAUCAUCUGGAAAGAUGAAUCAAAGAAGGUAAUAAUCCUGUAGUCGAAAAUGUUGUCUCUCUUGAGUGGAUCCUGAGUACGACGGAGCACGUGAAAUUCCGUCGGAAUCUGGGAGGACCAUCUCCUAAGGCUAAAUACUCUCUAGUGACCGAUAGUGAACCAGUACCGUGAGGGAAAGGUGAAAAGCACCCCGGAAGGGGAGUGAAAUAGAACCUGAAACCGUGUGCUUACAAGUAGUCAGAGCCCGUUAAUGGGUGAUGGCGUGCCUUUUGUAGAAUGAACCGGCGAGUUACGAUUUGAUGCAAGGUUAAGCAGUAAAUGUGGAGCCGUAGCGAAAGCGAGUCUGAAUAGGGCGUUUAGUAUUUGGUCGUAGACCCGAAACCAGGUGAUCUACCCUUGGUCAGGUUGAAGUUCAGGUAACACUGAAUGGAGGACCGAACCGACUUACGUUGAAAAGUGAGCGGAUGAACUGAGGGUAGCGGAGAAAUUCCAAUCGAACCUGGAGAUAGCUGGUUCUCUCCGAAAUAGCUUUAGGGCUAGCCUCAAGUGAUGAUUAUUGGAGGUAGAGCACUGUUUGGACGAGGGGCCCCUCUCGGGUUACCGAAUUCAGACAAACUCCGAAUGCCAAUUAAUUUAACUUGGGAGUCAGAACAUGGGUGAUAAGGUCCGUGUUCGAAAGGGAAACAGCCCAGACCACCAGCUAAGGUCCCAAAAUAUAUGUUAAGUGGAAAAGGAUGUGGCGUUGCCCAGACAACUAGGAUGUUGGCUUAGAAGCAGCCAUCAUUUAAAGAGUGCGUAAUAGCUCACUAGUCGAGUGACACUGCGCCGAAAAUGUACCGGGGCUAAACAUAUUACCGAAGCUGUGGAUUGUCCUUUGGACAAUGGUAGGAGAGCGUUCUAAGGGCGUUGAAGCAUGAUCGUAAGGACAUGUGGAGCGCUUAGAAGUGAGAAUGCCGGUGUGAGUAGCGAAAGACGGGUGAGAAUCCCGUCCACCGAUUGACUAAGGUUUCCAGAGGAAGGCUCGUCCGCUCUGGGUUAGUCGGGUCCUAAGCUGAGGCCGACAGGCGUAGGCGAUGGAUAACAGGUUGAUAUUCCUGUACCACCUAUAAUCGUUUUAAUCGAUGGGGGGACGCAGUAGGAUAGGCGAAGCGUGCGAUUGGAUUGCACGUCUAAGCAGUAAGGCUGAGUAUUAGGCAAAUCCGGUACUCGUUAAGGCUGAGCUGUGAUGGGGAGAAGACAUUGUGUCUUCGAGUCGUUGAUUUCACACUGCCGAGAAAAGCCUCUAGAUAGAAAAUAGGUGCCCGUACCGCAAACCGACACAGGUAGUCAAGAUGAGAAUUCUAAGGUGAGCGAGCGAACUCUCGUUAAGGAACUCGGCAAAAUGACCCCGUAACUUCGGGAGAAGGGGUGCUCUUUAGGGUUAACGCCCAGAAGAGCCGCAGUGAAUAGGCCCAAGCGACUGUUUAUCAAAAACACAGGUCUCUGCUAAACCGUAAGGUGAUGUAUAGGGGCUGACGCCUGCCCGGUGCUGGAAGGUUAAGAGGAGUGGUUAGCUUCUGCGAAGCUACGAAUCGAAGCCCCAGUAAACGGCGGCCGUAACUAUAACGGUCCUAAGGUAGCGAAAUUCCUUGUCGGGUAAGUUCCGACCCGCACGAAAGGCGUAACGAUUUGGGCACUGUCUCAACGAGAGACUCGGUGAAAUCAUAGUACCUGUGAAGAUGCAGGUUACCCGCGACAGGACGGAAAGACCCCGUGGAGCUUUACUGUAGCCUGAUAUUGAAAUUCGGCACAGCUUGUACAGGAUAGGUAGGAGCCUUUGAAACGUGAGCGCUAGCUUACGUGGAGGCGCUGGUGGGAUACUACCCUAGCUGUGUUGGCUUUCUAACCCGCACCACUUAUCGUGGUGGGAGACAGUGUCAGGCGGGCAGUUUGACUGGGGCGGUCGCCUCCUAAAAGGUAACGGAGGCGCUCAAAGGUUCCCUCAGAAUGGUUGGAAAUCAUUCAUAGAGUGUAAAGGCAUAAGGGAGCUUGACUGCGAGACCUACAAGUCGAGCAGGGUCGAAAGACGGACUUAGUGAUCCGGUGGUUCCGCAUGGAAGGGCCAUCGCUCAACGGAUAAAAGCUACCCCGGGGAUAACAGGCUUAUCUCCCCCAAGAGUUCACAUCGACGGGGAGGUUUGGCACCUCGAUGUCGGCUCAUCGCAUCCUGGGGCUGUAGUCGGUCCCAAGGGUUGGGCUGUUCGCCCAUUAAAGCGGUACGCGAGCUGGGUUCAGAACGUCGUGAGACAGUUCGGUCCCUAUCCGUCGUGGGCGUAGGAAAUUUGAGAGGAGCUGUCCUUAGUACGAGAGGACCGGGAUGGACAUACCUCUGGUGUACCAGUUGUCGUGCCAACGGCAUAGCUGGGUAGCUAUGUGUGGACGGGAUAAGUGCUGAAAGCAUCUAAGCAUGAAGCCCCCCUCAAGAUGAGAUUUCCCAACUUCGGUUAUAAGAUCCCUCAAAGAUGAUGAGGUUAAUAGGUUCGAGGUGGAAGCAUGGUGACAUGUGGAGCUGACGAAUACUAAUCGAUCGAAGACUUAAUCAA